rnacentral:lncRNA from 1 species
AGUUGCUAAGCAUCGCGGCCAAUCACUGACACUGUCUUUGCAUUGUCAGAUCUCUUUGAGUCCGGCUCAAGGCUGUAGAAGGUUUCGUUGUGCACUCACCACGUGCCUGAGAAAAUGGAGGGAUUUAGCCCUUGAAGCAGCCUGGUUCUUCCAGAGGGGUGUUACGCUUUGUGGCUCUUUGGCCCCAUCUUAUGGACAACAGUAUUAUAAAUCGGAGAUGGACGAUGGUCCUGCAGAGCAGGUGCCCCAGAAGUUUGAUUUCUUAUUAUAAAGUCAAAGUGUAAUGAUGACUCGGUUUCUCCCAGACUACAUUCAGGAAUACCCUUAGAGUUCACCGAUGUUCAGAAAAUCAGUGGCGAGUAUGGAAAUCUUACAUGUGAACAUGUGAACAGAACCGUUGCGCAUGGUAACUCGAAGACUGUGGUAAGGAGUAUGGUGUGUCCAACUAUUGUUACUGGCAUUUGGGAAGCCUCUCUUUGGUUACCAGAUGGUACUUUGGGGCGUUUAGUCUCUUUAAUAAAAUAAUUUAAAAGGGG